AUUGAACGCUGGCGGCAUGCUUUACACAUGCAAGUCGAACGAGUGGCGAACGGGUGAGUAAUAUAUCGGAACGUACCGAGUAAUGGGGGAUAACCACUCGAAAGAUUGGCUAAUACCGCAUAUUAUUCGAGCGGCCGAUAACUGCUUAGCUAGUUGGUGGGGUAAAGGCCUCCCAAGGCGACGAUCAGUAGCGGGUCUGAGAGGCCGAUCCCGCAACAUGGGGCCUGGGAACGGCCCAGACUCCUACGGGAGGGAGCAGGUGGGAAUUUUGGACAAAGGGGGCAACCCUGAUCCAGCCAUGCCGCGUGUAUGAAGAAGGCCUUCGGGUUGUAAAGUACUUUUGUUAGGGAAGCGGUACCUAAAGAAUAAGCACCGGCUAACUACGUGCCAGCAGCCGCGGUAAUUC
rnacentral:rRNA from 1 species